AAGCAUUUGACGUAGAGUGACAGAAACCAGGGCCAAUUAAAAUAAAAUUUUGCAAUACCACUGCCAAUUACAUACAGCUCUGGGAUUAGACGCGGUAGAGAAGGCAGAACCAUAUUUGUACAGUCACAAGAGCACCACACCUACAGAGAUGGCCUUGACAAUUUGAUCUUCGGUGAGUCCACCCCCCUGCAGAAAUUAACCUGUCAUGGUGCAGUGGGGUCACUGAGGGUGGAUCUGAAGUAUUCUGAGAGUAUUGCUCAGGACCAUUACAGACCAUGUCGCAUCUCCUCUUCCAUUUCUAUUUCUCAGCUGUCACCAAGGUGCUGACCACAAGAUGGACGAGGAGGAGAGAAGAGUGAUGAUAGGUCCUAUCUGAUAUGCUUCCAUUGAUGUGCUUUGCGUGGCUUAUUAGGCUUCUAGCAGACUUUGUCUCACCUGUGCAUUAAGGCAAAUAAACUCAAAGAAUAAUGUUAAACGACUCUACGACUGUACUUUCCAUGGCAAAAAUCUUUGAGCAGAAAAAAAUGGUAAAGGUGGAAAGCCAAAACAAUUACACAUAAGUGAUGUUUUCAUGUUGCCACUCUGAGAAUACAGUCAGCUCUAUUAAACAAGGUGUUAUGUUUGGUUAACAAAAGGACACGCAACAAAGAGCUCAGAGAUUUUAAUGUGAAAAUUGCCAGCAGAAAAACUCAGAAUGAUAUUUAAAAAUAUUUCUAUCAAGUAUCGAGUUUAAUCUGCAAUGAUCCACCUGCAGAUUAUUAAUUCAUAAGUCUGUGUAUCAAACCAGAUCAGAAAGGAGAUUUCUAGAGUAGUUAAGACAGACUAACAAAUCAAACCUCCCCCAGAUUGAUUAAUCUGAAGCUCCAAACAAAAUCCACGUCCAGAUGUCUAAAAAACUUGACUCCCAAAAAACUUGACUCCCAGGGUUGCUCUCCAAAUGUUCACUCCACCUGCUGGUAGUCCUUGGAGAUGGGCUUAGGGCUGGCUUCCUCCCAAAACAAUCUGCUGACUCUUCAGGAAUGAAUCUAAGGCAGUGAGGUACAGGCAAAGCUAAAUUGGACUGGAAUUUUAAUUAAAGCCAGAAUAAUGCUAGCAGCAGUGUAGUGCAACAGUCUGGCAGAGAAUGAUAAGCAGAGCUGGUUUUAAGUACUGUAGAUGAGGGUGAUGAAGGUAACGAGCGACAGGUGUAUCAGUUAGAGUUUCGGUGGCCAUGCCUACUCCUGAGAGGAAGUAAGAAGAGUUAUUAUGCACAUACACACACACACACACACACACACACACACUGAGGCUAGGGAGAGGUAGACAGAGCAGUAGCAGAGAGACAGAGAGAAAGGUUGGUCAGCACUUGGAAGGCAAGACGGAGCUUAACACAAGGACCUUAGCUUGUGGACAAGAGAAGUCAGAGUACAUUUAUGCUCCAAGACUGAAAAAAACCCUAGAAAUCUCACACCAGUCCUCGGUUCAUUCAUGCUUUGCAAGUGUGUGUACCAGUUCCAGUACCACAUUCAUAUAACCAAGCCUGUCUUCAGUGAAUUGUAU
ensembl:lncRNA